rnacentral:rRNA from 1 species
GAUGAACGCUGGCGGCGUGCCUAAUACAUGCAAGUCGAGCGAACAGACGAGGCGCUUGCUCCUUCGACGUUAGCGGCGGACGGGUGAGUAACACGUAGGUAACCUACCUAUAAGACUGGGAUAACUUCGGGAAACCGGAGCUAAUACCGGAUAAUAUUUCGAACCGCAUGGUUCGAUAGUGAAAGAUGGCUUUGAUAUCACUUAUAGAUGGACCUGCGCCGUAUUAGCUAGUUGGUAAGGUAACGGCUUACCAAGGCAACGAUACGUAGCCGACCUGAGAGGGUGAUCGGCCACACUGGAACUGAGACACGGUCCAGACUCCUACGGGAGGCAGCAGUAGGGAAUCUGCCGCAAAGGGCGAAAGCCUGACGGAGCAACGCCGCGUGAGUGAUGAAGGUCUUCGGAUCGUAAAACUCUGUUAUUAGGGAAGAACAAACGUGUAAGUAACUGUGCACGUCUUGACGGUACCUAAUCAGAAAGCCACGGCUAACUACGUG